AGAGUUUGAUCAUGGCUCAGGAUGAACGCUGGCGGCGUGCUUAACACAUGCAAGUCGAACGAAGCACUUAAGACGGAUUCUUCGGAUGAAGGCUUUUGUGACUGAGUGGCGGACGGGUGAGUAACGCGUGGGUAACCUGCCUCAUACAGGGGGAUAACAGUUGGAAAUGGCUGCUAAUACCGCAUAAGCGCACGGUACUGCAUGGUACAGUGUGAAAAACUCCGGUGGUAUGAGAUGGACCCGCGUUGGAUUAGCUAGUUGGCAGGGUAACGGCCUACCAAGGCGACGAUCCAUAGCCGGCCUGAGAGGGUGGACGGCCACAUUGGGACUGAGACACGGCCCAGACUCCUACGGGAGGCAGCAGUGGGGAAUAUUGCACAAUGGGGGAAACCCUGAUGCAGCGACGCCGCGUGAGCGAAGAAGUAUUUCGGUAUGUAAAGCUCUAUCAGCAGGGAAGAAAAUGACGGUACCUGACUAAGAAGCCCCGGCUAACUACGUGCCAGCAGCCGCGGUAAUACGUAGGGGGCAAGCGUUAUCCGGAUUUACUGGGUGUAAAGGGAGCGUAGACGGAAUGGCAAGUCUGAUGUGAAAGGCCGGGGCUCAACCCCGGGACUGCAUUGGAAACUGUCAAUCUAGAGUACCGGAGGGGUAAGUGGAAUUCCUAGUGUAGCGGUGAAAUGCGUAGAUAUUAGGGGGAACACCAGUGGCGAAGGCGGCUUACUGGACGGUAACUGACGUUGAGGCUCGAAAGCGUGGGGAGCAAACAGGAUUAGAUACCCUGGUAGUCCACGCCGUAAACGAUGAUUACUAGGUGUGGGGGGACUGACCCCUUCCGUGCCGCAGCAAACGCAAUAAGUAAUCCACCUGGGGAGUACGACCGCAAGGUUGAAACUCAAAAGAAUUGACGGGGGCCCGCACAAGCAGUGGAGUAUGUGGAUUAAUUCGAAGCAACGCGAAGAACCUUACCAGGUCUUGACAUCGUAUGCAUAGCUCAGAGAUGAGUGAAAUCUCUUCGGAGACAUAUAGACAGGUGGUGCAUGGUUGUCGUCAGCUCGUGUCGUGAGAUGUUGGGUUAAGUCCCGCAACGAGCGCAACCCUUACUGUUAGUUGCUACGCAAGAGCACUCUAGCAGGACUGCCGUUGACAAAACGGAGGAAGGUGGGGAUGACGUCAAAUCAUCAUGCCCCUUAUGACCUGGGCCUCACACGUACUACAAUGGCUGUCAACAGAGGGAAGCAAAGCCGCGAGGUGGAGCGAACCCCUAAAAGCAGUCUUAGUUCGGAUUGUAGGCUGCAACCCGCCUACAUGAAGUCGGAAUUGCUAGUAAUCGCAGAUCAGCAUGCUGCGGUGAAUACGUUCCCGGGCCUUGUACACACCGCCCGUCACGCCAUGGGAGUCGGUAACACCCGAAGCCUGUAGUCUAACCGCAAGGAGGACGCAGUCGAAGGUGGGAUUGAUGACUGGGGUGAAGUCGUAACAAGGUA
rnacentral:rRNA from 1 species